UUUUGCAUCCUCAAGAGUAUGAUUUGGUUUUGAAGACAGGAAAUGGAAGUCUGGAGAAGUGAAGUGACUCUCUUCUGAUCACAAAGCAAAUGAGGAAAUGUGGAUCCCAGCUCAGAGUUCACUUCCACUGAGGCAUUUCUCCUGAUGCCCUGCAGCUGAAGAAGUCAUUCCUUCAACUGGGUUUCUACAACAUAUUUCUUCAACUCAAGCUAAUAGACUGCAGUUGGUGGUUUCUGUGCCUCUGGAUGGAGCCCCAGGAACUGAGAGAGGCCUCCUUAAAGAAAGGUCAUCUGCUUCCUGUCAAAGGGAUAUUGAAAAAAUUGAAGAUGAUUUUUUUUCCC